rnacentral:lncRNA from 1 species
AAGUUAAUUUUUUGAAAUAAAAUCGAACUCAAUAAUUAAAAGAAUUAAAACUACUAGGUGUUUAUACUAUGCAAUUGGCGAGGUGUAUUUAAGAGAGUUAAUCCUACUUAGGGUGUGUUUGGUUCGAAGUCAAAUUAGAAUCAAAAUCAGAAUGGAAAUAAGCUGAAAUCAGAGUACGAAAAAUUGCCAUAAUUUUAAAAAUAGCGUGGCCAUAUUUUAUCGCCACAAAAAUAUAACUUUUAGCGGCCAUUGUUAAUCGCCAUCUUAUUAAAAAUUGUAUGGCAACAUUUUAUCGCCACCAAAUAUGACUUUUAAUAGUCCUUAUUGGUUGACAUCUUUUACAGAGAUAGGAUGGCAAUAAAUUUUUGCCACCAAAUGUACAAUUUAGGUGGCAACAACCAUAGUUGAGAUAACUUUUUGUUGCCACCACUUGUGUGAGUAAAAUAGCCACCAAUAGCAAAUAGGUGAUUAAAAAAAAAAAAAAAUAGUUUAUAUUUUAUAAUCAGAAUAUACAUAAAAUAAUAAACAAAAUAUUUAAGUAAACAAAAUUAUCCUUUUAAUAAUAAUUUAAAAGGAUAAUUAAUUUCUCAUCCACAUCAACUUAAAAAUAAAAUAAUAACAAUAUCAAUUUAAAGACAAAAGAGUAAUAAUAUCUGAUGUACAGUUUAAUACCAUUCCUGACUCUCUAAACUUUAAAAAUAGAAAACAGUUAAAAACGAUAAAAAAAUGCUUCAACUCCUCAUUCAGCGGUCAUUCAUUUCCUGUAAGCAAAUAAAAAGAAAAAAAUAUAUUUUAUAAAUUAAAAAUCUAUAAUAAAAGUUAGAGUAAUCUAUUACUAUAUAUAAAAGUAGAACCCUUAAUGAAACCUAUGUGAGAAGCUGACACGUGGCUUUCUAUAUGCUUGUCACGUGUCAAACUCAAAUAUGGAUAUUUGAUUACGAAUUAUUUGAAAUUAUUGGUUUAAUUAAUUAUUUAAAAUUAUUGGUUGCGAAAUACGUAAUAAUCUGUUGCGAAUUAUUUUUUCGCGGUGGAAAUAAUCUGUUGCAAACUCAAAUUUCGUAUUGGCAGAUAAUUAAUUAUUUAUAAAUUACUAUUUAGUUAAUUAUUUGAAAUGAUUGGUUGAAAAUUUCUGGAUAUAAAAAUAUUAGUAAAAAAUGAUAGAGACAUUUUUGGAAAGAGAAAAAAAUAAAAACUCACGCUUUUAUAAAAAAUUAAUAUCUUUUACUAUAUUAUUAAAAAUCACAUAUAAUGAAAGAAAUUUUAUUUCAAAGUCACUAAGAUAUUUAAGAAAUUUAUGGAUAUUAUGUUGCGAAAGAAUUGACAGUGCGGAUAUUACGCGUGAGAAGAAAAAUAUUUAUUUUUAUUUGGAAAUAAAUUAUUACUUAUUUAAUUAUUUGAAAUGAUUGGUUGAAAAUUUCUGGACAUAAAAAUAUUAGUAAAAAAUGAUAGAGAUAUUUUUUGAAAGAGGAAAAAAUUUAAAACUCACAUCACUCCUGUAAUUUUCUUAGCUCUUAAAUAUUGAUGCUUUAAAAUAGAACAUAUUAUUUUCCUGUUACUUCUGUUAUUUUUAUUUCGUAAUUUUUUUGCCUACUGUCACUUCUGUAACUUUUCAUCUUCAUGCAACAAAAUUUUUUUCUUUAUAUUUUUUUGAAAAUCAACAUCUAUAUAUUUUUGAAUCUUAAAAGUGACAGUAGAAACAUAAUAUAUGUGUGUACUCUAAUGUGUGUCAAAUAUGAAAGUUUAGUUGAUCUCAUUAUAUACUUAAAUAUUCAUGUCAUUUGUAAUUUUUCAUAUCAAUUUUAGUUAUCAUUUUAUUUCGCACAUCAAUAUGUAAAUGUAAAUUAUUCUGCACACCAAUUCAUAGAUAAUAGAGUAGAAUUGAAUUUUACAUUUUAGUUGAAUAUUUACUUUGGUCUAAAUUUUUUUUCUCUCGCUUGUGUACUUUAAUAUAUACUAUAAUUAAGAUUGAUAGCAUAUUUUUUUAUUUGUUAAAAAAUAUAAAAUUAAUUAGAAAAUCUUUUUGUUGUCAUCACAUAAUAAUUUUUAUUAUUCUAUAUUAUUAUAUUAGCCGUGCAUCGCAUGGGUGAAAAUCUAGUUUUUGCUAUAGUUAGAUGCUGAAACAAUACUGAUCGAACUGAAGAACACAUAGAUCACAAUCAUGACAAUG